AAAACCUAGGGUAGGAGAGAGGAGAGCGGCGUGUGCUGCAGGCCCUGGAGGCCGGAGCCCAGUGCGAGCAGCCCACGCACCAGCGCGUUAACUACACCUUACGCGGGGCUGGGAGUUGGCUUUUCCUUUCUGUAUUUAGGUGAAAAAACAGAAUUAUUCUCUGUAGUUUUUGUUUUCAAACUAAGAGUAGAAUGUGACAUUUCUCCCAGAGGGUAGGAGGUCAUGGGAUGAUGGGGGAAAAGGGAAUGGUUUUCCUUGCAAAGCAGCUUUCAAGUCAGAAUGUACACAAGAGUGUGGGACCCUAAGGCAUAGGGGCACAUAAGGGGAAGGGCAGGAGGUGUGCGUUAGCUUCCCUGUGACCAGGCUUCCUCUCUCGGCUUCCAGGAUGUCCUCUGAAGAUGCAGUACUGUCUGCGAGAGCUCUACAACUAUGGAAACCUGACAGCAGACUCAAGGGAGAGGUCAUCGUAAAACCAGUUGGAGAUUGCCGCGCAACGGGCGAGCUGCACACCCACACAGAAGGAUGGGCACGGGCGGUGACCCACGCGCUGCGUCCCACGGGCCCUGGCUCCCGCUGCAGCACAGGCCGGGACCUGAGUGCACCAGGGGCGCCGCCCUCUCCGGAAGCGAAGCUUCGCGCACGGUGCCCGCGGGUUACCCGGCCUCGCCGCCCCCAGCGGGGUCUGCACACAGCCUGAGCCGCACACUCGGAUACGCGCGCGCCACCACCUGGCCCUGCCCGCGGCCCGGGCCGUCCGCACACACUGCCCACUGCCACAGCUGCAGCCUGCUCAGCGGAAGCAAAUCCGAGGAAGCUCAGACCCCACCGUGCGCGGCCGGCCCCUCCCACCCAGGACCACGAGUCCAGCAAGCUCCUCUUGCCACGCCCCCGCUGGGGACAUCCUGGGGACCACAGAUCCCCAGGAGGCGCUGCUGCCGUCCCUGCAGUGGCCCCGCGGUGACACCGAGGGUGGGAGCCAGGCACACAGCACAGACACACGCAGGCGGGGACGCGCCCUGCUGGCUGGGGCUGGAGCUGGGGCAAGCGGGGCGCGGGAUGCAAGCACAAGGGCCACCCCACCUACCUGGACAUGGAGGUGUCGACCGACAGGGAGGAUGGGUAGGGCUGCCUGAAUCCACCCGAGAUGGGGUAAACAGGCUGACCUUGCCUGAGGUCACAGAAGAGAGGAGCCGUCAAUGACGCCACCCAGGACCAGCCAGUGCCAGAGUGGGGGGAGCGAGGUGGCAAGGGCUCAGACAGGGGGCCUCCUCCUCCCCUUCCCGACUGCAGCUCUGAGCACCAGCAAUGCCGGUCUCUGUCCCUCCCCUCUCCCAGCCCCACCAGGGUGCUGAGGAAAGGCCCUUCAUAAAGGCUUCCUGAAGCCCCAGCAGCGGCCCAUGGCAGCAAUGCCAGCGCUCAGGAGGCUGAGGCAGGAGGACUGCCAUGAGUUUGGGCCAGCCGGGGCUACAUAAUGAAUUCAAGGUCAGCUGUCUCAAAAAGUAUAAAAGCUUAUGGAGUAUAACGCAGCCCUGAGAGUGGCGAAAUAUCCCCUUUGGCUUAGUAAACUGAGGAUCUUUGAGAAUGUGAGAGAAGGGAGGAAAAAAGGCUAUAAAAUUUCACCUUUGCAUAAAGGUAAGUAAACAUUUCACUGCACCCUGACCCCACUCUAUGCACGUGUUAGUCAAGGAGUACGAGACUAAUUCAAGGGUUAUUUCUCUCCACCCCAAGAAAUCCGUCUUUCCCUCCGCUCUGUUUCUCCCAUUUUCCAUGUCCUCUAUUUCCACUGCCUCAGGGGAAGGAACCUGGGCAGGGCUCGCUGCCCCAGUGACUACGUUCAGACCACCCUAAGGUCGGCACGUCACACCGACCUCGGUGGCCUGAGCUGCUAAGGAUGGACAGCGAGUGUCCAGGUGGCAGACAGCGCUGACAGAGGAGGAGAGACGCUGGCUGAAGUCGUGCUGGGCCACGGGGAGAACGGAGGAGGAAGGGAGAGGCAGGGCGGGGUGUGUGUGUGUGCUGGUGACAGCUACGCGCUGGUGACAGCGGGUACGGACGGCUGCGGCAAGCCGCCCACCCCUCCUUCCCACGUUUACAAAUGUGUUUGGGAAUAAUCAACCACUACACCAGAAAGAGGAGCAGUAUCCCGGUUCUGAACAAAACAGAGGCCCCAAAUCAGCACUUUGCCUCUCUGAACUGAAAUGGGUCUAGUUCUUCAUUAUCACCUAACAGAUGCGUUCACUUCAUUAAACCUGAAGCUCUCUGCUCAGGUGUCAGGCACUCUUCUGUCCACUUAGAAGCAACAGUAGUUAUAUGAUGUGCCCACAUUUAUGUUUCAAAAACAUAAGUUGUUUUUUUUUUUAAAAAAAAGCAAGCCGCCCUAAGUGCUAAGUUUGAAUAGGCAGAGCGGGUGCCCUGGGCCACAAAUCCAAUCCAUAAAACUGUAAGCUUCAAAGCAAAGGCUACAUGGUCAUUUUCUACCCAUAUUAGCCAACGGAUUCAAUCCAUUUCAAAGUCUGUGUUUCUUAAUCUUUCAAACUGAAAUGAAAGAAACUUUGAGGCUC